GCGACCACGCCCACCCACUUUUUGCAUUUUUAAAACCUGAGCACAGGCCUUGAAAUUAUACCAACGUUUAAAUUCUAGGUGUGAUGUGUGACAUGGCCAAGGUAGUUACUUUGAAUUUUAGUGUUCUCAUUUAUGAAAUGGGAAUUGUAAUACUGACUUGGUAGGAUUGUGAGGAUUAAAUCAGAAUAUAUGUAUAGUGUCUUGCAUAAUGUGACACAUGAAUAAAUGGUCGUUUAUUUUUCCAGGUGGCUGGCCGGAAAGGAUUUCCUCAUGUGAUCUAUGCCCGUCUCUGGAGGUGGCCUGAUCUUCACAAAAAUGAACUAAAGCAUGUUAAAUAUUGUCAGUAUGCGUUUGACUUAAAAUGUGAUAGUGUCUGUGUGAAUCCAUAUCACUAUGAACGAGUUGUAUCACCUGGAAUUGAUCUCUCAGGAUUAACACUGCAGAGUAAUGCUCCAUCAAGUAUGAUGGUGAAGGAUGAAUAUGUUCAUGAUUUUGAGGGACAGCCAUCAUUAUCCACUGAAGGACAUUCAAUUCAAACCAUCCAGCAUCCACCAAGUAAUCGUGCGUCAACAGAGACAUACAGCACCCCAGCUCUGUUAGCCCCAUCUGAGUCUAAUGCUACCAGCACUGCCAACUUUCCCAACAUUCCUGUGGCUUCCACAAGUCAGCCUGCCAGUAUACUGGGGGGCAGCCAUAGUGAAGGACUGUUGCAGAUAGCAUCAGGGCCUCAGCCAGGACAGCAGCAGAAUGGAUUUACUGGUCAGCCAGCUACUUACCAUCAUAACAGCACUACCACCUGGACUGGAAGUAGGACUGCACCAUACACACCUAAUUUGCCUCACCACCAAAACGGCCAUCUUCAGCACCACCCGCCUAUGCCGCCCCAUCCCGGACAUUACUGGCCUGUUCACAAUGAGCUUGCAUUCCAGCCCCCCAUUUCCAAUCAUCCUGCUCCUGAGUAUUGGUGUUCCAUUGCUUACUUUGAAAUGGAUGUUCAGGUAGGAGAGACAUUUAAGGUUCCUUCAAGCUGCCCUAUUGUUACUGUUGAUGGAUACGUGGACCCUUCUGGAGGAGAUCGCUUUUGUUUGGGUCAACUCUCCAAUGUCCACAGGACAGAAGCCAUUGAGAGAGCAAGGUUGCACAUAGGCAAAGGCGUGCAGUUGGAAUGUAAAGGUGAAGGUGAUGUUUGGGUCAGGUGCCUUAGCGACCAUGCGGUCUUUGUACAGAGUUACUACUUAGACAGAGAAGCCGGGCGUGCACCUGGAGAUGCUGUUCAUAAGAUCUACCCAAGUGCAUAUAUAAAGGUCUUUGAUUUGCGUCAGUGUCAUCGACAGAUGCAGCAGCAGGCGGCCACUGCACAAGCUGCAGCAGCCGCCCAGGCAGCAGCCGUGGCAGGAAACAUCCCUGGCCCGGGAUCAGUAGGUGGAAUAGCUCCAGCUAUCAAGUUAAACUCCUGACUAUAGACUUUUAUGAUGGAAACACGUGGCACCCAUCUUCCACGUCUGAAGGCAUAACUAGUGAUUCAUUCAACCCCUGUUCUUAACCUCUUCAGUGUGGCCUGUCAGCUGCCGCUGGAAUCGGUGUUGAUGACCUUCGUCGUUUAUGCAUACUCAGGAUGAGUUUCGUGAAAGGCUGGGGACCGGAUUACCCAAGACAGAGCAUCAAAGAAACGCCUUGCUGGAUUGAGAUUCACUUACACCGUGCCCUCCAGCUCCUAGAUGAAGUACUUCACACCAUGCCGAUUGCAGACCCACAACCUUUAGACUGAGGUCUUGGGGCCCUUAACCUUAUCAGGAUGGUGGACUAUAAAAUACAAUCCUGUUUAUAAUCUGAAGAUAUACUUCACUUUUGUUCUGCUUUAUCUUUUCAUAAAGGGUUGAAAAUGUGUUUGCUGCCUUGCUCCUAGCAGACAGAAACUGGAUUAAAACAUUUUUUUUUUCCUAUUUAGAACUUUUCAGGCAUGGCUCAGAGCUUGAAGAUUAAGAGAAACACAUUCUUAUUAAUUCUUCACCCACUAUGUAUGAAGGAAUCAUUCCAGUGCUAGAAAUUUAGCCCUUUAAAACGUCUUAGAGCCUUUUAUCUGCAGAACAUCAACAUGUGUAUCAUUCUACAGAAUAAAUCCAGUAUUGCUGAUUUUAAAGGCAGAAAAGUUCUCAAAGUUAAUUCACCUGUUAUUUUGUGUACAAGUUGUUAUUGUUGAACCUACUUACUUCAAAAAUAAUGUGCCAUGUGGGUGAGUUAAUUUUACCAAGAGUAACUUUACUGUUUUUAAAAAGUAAAAUAAUAAUGUAUUGUAACCUUUCAUCCAAAAUAUUUUUUGCAAGUUUUAUUAGUGAAAAUCAUUUCAGAUUGUCUUGCAACUUCAGUUUUGUUUUUGCCAAGGCAAAAAACACUAAUCUGUGUGUAUAUUGAGAAUCCCUUAAAAUUACCAGACAAAACAAGUCAUUUAAAAUUACAUUUGUUAUUCCUAAUGGAUGACUGUUUAUCAAGAAGUAUACUUUUACCCUCUUAAAUAGUAGAUGUAUUCUUCCGUAUUUCUAGGCACAAGAUUGGUUGCUAAAAAGCCUAGAAGAGGAAUUUCUUUUCCUUCAUUAAUUCACAGGGAAAGGUUUUGUAUUUUUUAAAACACUAAAAGCAGUGUCACUCUACCUAAUGUCUCACUGUUCUGCAAAGGUGGCAAUGCUUAAACUAAAUAAUGAGUAUUUUGGAAACUGCUAAAUUCUAUGUUAAAUACUGUGCAGAAUAAUGGAAACAUUACAGUUCAUAAUAGGUAGUUUGGAUAUUUUUGUACUUGAUUUGAUGUGACUUUUUUUCGUAUAAUGUUUAAAUCAUGUAUGUUACGAUAUUGUUUAAAAUUCAGUUUUUGUAUCUUGGGGCAAGACUGCAAACUUUUUUAUAUCUUUUGGUUAUUCUAAGCCCUUGCCAUCAAUGAUCAUAUCAAUUGGCAGUGACUUUGUAUAGAGAAUUUAAGUAGAAAAGUUGCAGAUGUAUUGACUGUACCACAGACACAAUAUGUAUGCUUUUUACCUAGCUGGUAGCAUAAAUAAAACCGAAUCUCAACAUACAAAGUUGAAUUCUAGGUUUGAUUUUUAAGAUUUUUUGUCUUUUGCACUUUUGAGUCCAAUCUCAGUGGUGAGGUACCUUCUACUAAAUGACAGGCAACAGCCAGUUCUAUUGGGCAGCUUUGUUUUUUCCCUCACACUCUACCAGGACUUCCCCAUGGACAUUGUGUAUCAUGUAUAGAGUUGGUUAUUUUUUUUGAAUUUUUAUUUUACUGUAGCAGAAAUAGGCCUGAUUGUCUACAAGAUGAUAAAUAGAUUGUCUAAAGAGUUGUGUGAAAUAAAAUCAACGAUUAUCUUUCAGAUGCUUUUACUUUUGCUUGGAGGACUUUUAGCUAUAGAAACACUUGUGUGAUAGUCCUCCUCAUAUCACCUGGAAUGAACACAGCUUCUACUGCCUUGCCCAGAAGGUCUUUUAAAUAGACCAUCCUGGAAACCACUGAGUUUGCUUAUUUCUGUGAUUUAAACAGAUGUUGAUCCAAGCUACAUGACUUUUGUUUUUAAAUAACUUAUCUACCAACUGAUUUGUACUCUUGAGUACUUAGAAAUUCUUUCAGUAAAGACCUAAUUUUCUUCUGUAAAAGUUUAAUGAUUUAAGUUUUAUUGGCAGUUUUUUAAAAGGACAUCGUUUCUAAAAAUUGCUAACUUUAGGUCCAUUUUACUAUGAAUGAGGAAUAGGAGUGAGUUUUAGAAUAACAGAUUUUUAAAAAUCCAGAUGAUUUGAUUAAAACCUUAAUCAUACAUUGAUAUAAUUCAUUUCUUCCUUUUUUUUUUUUUUUUUUUUUUGAGACAGAGUCUCUCUGUGUUGCCCAACUGGGAGUGCAGUAGCGCAAUCUCAGCUCACUGCAACCUCUGCCUCCCAGGUUCAACUGAUUCUCCUGCCUCAGCCUCCCGGGUAGCUGAGAUUACAGGUGCCCGCCACCACGCCUGGCUAAUUUUUAUAUUUUUAGUAGAGAUGGGGUUUUGCCAUGUUGGCCAGGCUGGUCUCGAACUCCUGACCUCAAGUGAUCCACCUGCCUCGGCCUCCCGAAGUGCUGGGAUUACAGGCUUGAGCCACCGUGCCUGGCCUCAUUACUUCCUUUUCUACUUUAAGGAGUUUUCAUGUUUAAUCAUCUAGGGAAAGUAUGUGGAAAAUAUUUGUUAAGAAGUAUCUCUUUGGAGCCAAGCCACCUGUCUUGGUUUCUUUCUACUAAGAGCCAUAAAGUAUAGAAAUACUUCUAGUUGUUAAGUGCUUAUAUUUGUACCUAGAUUUAGUCACAUGCUUUUGAGAAAACAUCUAGUAUGUUAUGAUCAGCUAUUCCUGAGAGCUUGGUUGUUAAUAUAUAUUUCUGUUUCUUACCGGUAGCCAUCUUUGAUGAAUAAGACUAAAGAUUCUCACAGGUUUAAAAUUUUUGUCUACUUUUAGGGUAAAAUUAUGAUGAGGAUAUGGUUCUGGGUGGGUUUUCUCUAGCUAAUUCAUAUCUUAAAGACUCAAAAUAUUGAAUUUCAGUGCAAGCUGAAUGAGAGAGAUGAGCCAUGUACACCCAGCGUGAGACCUCAUUCCACGUUUGUCCAGUGCCUUUCAGUGCAUUAUCAAAGGGAAUCCUUCAUGGUGUUGCCUUUAUUUUCCAGGGAGUGGAUCCUUUUGUGGGAUAUAGUCUAUCUCAUUUUUAAUAGUUUACUGCCCCUGGCAUACAAAGAUAAUGACAAUAAAUCACUGCCAUAUAACCUUGCUUUUUCCAGAGACAUGGCUCAUUUGUAUUGCUGUAACCACUAAAUAGGCUGCCUAUUCCCAUUCCUCCUGUGAACAGUGCAGAUUUACAGGUUGCAUGGUCUGGCUUAAGGAGAGCCAUACUUGAGACAUCCAAGUCAACUGAACACAUAAUAGCUGUGCUACAUUUCAGACUUAAAAUCCGUUUUUAUGGGGCAGGGUGUGGUGUGUAAAGGGGAUGUUUGUAUUACAAGUUUUGAAGGCAAAAUGUCAUGUUUCCCAGA